CUUUCUUUCUAUCUUUGACCGCCAAAGAAAGUAGUAGUGCGCGUCGUGCUUAAAGUAAAAUUAAAGCUAUUGAUAGUUCCAAGUCAGUGUAGUGCUUCCAAACGGGAUUAUAUAGACAGUGGUAGCACGCCUACGAACGAAAACAUACCUACGUAUCCAUAAAAGAAAGUAUAUAACGACGAACAAAGCAGAAGAAAAGGUCCGUGCGGGCCUUUUCUUUUACGGUUCCCGGAGCGGAAGCUCGGAGACUGCUAUCGUUCACAGGACAAAGGAUCGACAGAGAGCCCAUCUCAAGCCAAGAACCGGCCGGUGGCCAGCAACACGUGCCCUCUGCGCACACAAAGAUCACCGACGCCAUUUUGCCGAGUACCCACCGGUACAAAACGACUCAUCUGUCGAAUCCCAGAGCAGCUUUAACCGCCACGCCGUGAACCCUUCCGACGCCGAAUACAGCGAAUCGAGCUGCGUUAACAGGUUAACAGUUAGCAUCCAACCUUCAAGUCAUCGGCGUCGAACGCCAGUCAACCUCAGCGUCGCUGAAAUCGGCCACCGGAACAGCGAAUUCGGUAAACCGUCGAGGACCGAGUUGACCUCCAAUCACCAUCGCACCGUCGGCGAACACCGGUAACUACGCCCGUCUCCGAAAACAGUUAUCCGAUCAACGAGUCCGGUGAACCCGUCAACGUCGAAUACCUCCAAACGUGGAGUUUUCUACGAGAGUCACCAAAGAACGGCGAUUCGACCUUCGGACUGGGAAACCUCCCACGCCGUGCGAUCCCACCUGGAACCCGUGCAUCACCGUGUUCAACGUGGCUAGCAGCGAACAAUUACCACAUCCGCCGGAAUCCCGGCCAAUCAAGCAGCCAAUUCUUCUGCCGGUAAGCUCGUCGAAGAUCCGGAAAUCGAGUUGUGAACAACGGAGGGCCCUCCCAACCAUGCCAUCACCAAACCAGCUACCACAACGACUACCAGAACCACAAAGCGCAAGUAGACCCUCAAUGUAUUGUAUCGUCUCUCUCUAAGUCCAAAUGGGCAAAUAAAUAGCUAGCAUGUAAUAA